rnacentral:rRNA from 1 species
UUUAUCAAAAACAUGUCUCCUUGUAAUUAUUAUAGAUAGGGAGUCGAACCUGCCCGGUGAAUAUUUUUAACGGCCGCGGUAUCCUGACCGUGCGAAGGUAGCGUAAUUAUUUGCCUUAUAAUUGGAGGCUUGUAUGAAUGGUUUGACUUGAGUAGAUCUGUCUCUUUGUAGUUUUGUAGAAUUUGAUUUUUAGGUGAAGAAGCCUAGAUUAAAUUAAUAGACAAGAAGACCCUAUCGAGCUUUAAAUAAAUUGAUGGAUAAUAUUAAUAUUAUAACUUGUGUAUAUUAUAUUUUUAUUGUAUAAUGGACGCGCAUACCAAGAAGAGAUAAAAAAUAUUUACUGUUAAGAGUUUUUGGUUGGGGCGACUUGGGAACAAAUAAAGCUUCCUUAAUUUAUUAUACCUGCAUGUUUUGAUCCAAAUUUUAGGUUUUGAUUUAAGGAAUUAGUUACCGUAGGGAUAACAGCAUAAUCUCUUUUGAGAGUUCAUAUCGAAAAGGGGGUUUGUGACCUCGAUGUUGGACCAGAAUGUCCUGAAGGUGCAGAAGUCUUCAAGGGUUGGUCUGUUCGACCAUUAAAAUUCUACGUGAUCUGAGUUAAGACCGGCGUAAGCCAGGUCGGUUUCUAUCUUUAAUUUUUUUUGUAAGCUUAGUACGAAAGGACCAGCUUAUAGUAUUUGGAUGUUGUGGUUGAAUGAAUAUAAUUACUAAUAUUGUCAAAUUAGCAGAAUUAAAUGCAAUUGAUUUAGGAUCAAUAGAUAUAGGUGAAGGUCCUUUAUUUGAUAAUAAAGAUGGCAGAUUAGUGCAUUAGGUUU